CUACGGGUCGCUCCAGUGAGGAAUUUUGCGCAAUGGGGGAAACCCUGACGCAGCGACGCCGCGUGGGUGAUGAAGGCUUUCGAGUCGUAAAGCCCUGUCAAGUGGGAAGAAGUGUAUAUGUGCUAAUACCACAUGUAUUUGACGGUACCACUAAAGGAAGCACCGGCUAACUCCGUGCCAGCAGCCGCGGUAAUACGGAGGGUGCGAGCGUUGUUCGGAAUUACUGGGCGUAAAGGGCGCGUAGGCGGCGUAGCAAGUCAGGUGUGAAAGUCCAUGGCUUAACCAUGGAAGUGCAUCUGAACUGCUAUGCUUGAGUAUCGGAGAGGAAAGUAGAAUUCCCGGUGUAGAGGUGAAAUUCGUAGAUAUCGGGAGGAAUACCUGAGGCGAAGGCGACUUUCUGGACGAAUACUGACGCUGAGGCGCGAAAGCGUGGGGAGCAAACAGGAUUAGAUACCCGCGUAGUC
rnacentral:rRNA from 1 species